CACUGCUUAGGUUGUGUUUCCUCUGCUCCAUUUCUGUAAAUCUAUGCCUAUCCCCCUCCCUUAAAUGGGAGCACUGACAGAAAAUUCUAUUAUGUGCAUAGAAUUGGCUUCAUAUCAGAAUAAAUUGCAAGAAGCAAGAAGGGAAAAUUCCCUUCAUCACUUCACAAUCACAGCUCUCAAGUCAAAAUAAGAAAGCUUUCUCAAAGGCCACAGGACCUGCGCCCUGGCUCUCCGUAGGAAAACUGGUAUACAACUGGUCAGGUGGUCAAUUUCUUCUUGUUUCAGUUUAAGAAUGCAUGUCUUGCCACCAUCAUGAGGAGUCCAAAGUAACCAGAUGAUAACCAGAGCUUCAGUUUCAAUAGAACUCUUACUGAGCCACACUGUUGAAAGCAUUCAUCACCCUGGGAGCCAACACCUUAAAUCCAGCAUUGUCUAAGCUUUCAAGGCUUGGCAGCCAGAACUCCAUAGACACAACCUGCCUCCGGGAAACUAUCUGUAUUGAUACAAAUGGAAUCAUUAAGUGGACUCCUUGAGACUCUCCUUACAGAGAGGAUUCCCCUCUCCAGUGUCCUUGCUUGUUGAAUUGUAACCCACUGACCAGCCGCAUCAGCAUCAGAUUUCUUCUGGCUGCUACCACUAUGAUCUCCUCCAUGGCUUCUCACACUUAAUGUUCAUUUGGAUCAUCAGAGAAUCUUGUUAAAACGCAAAUUCUGAUUCAGUCUCUCUGAUCAAGUUGGGACCCGAGAUUCUGCAUUUGUAACAAGCUCCCAAAUGACUCUCACGCUGCUGGCAUUUCUAUACUUUUGAUAAAAAGAUGUGCAAAUCCUUGAAUGAUUUCACACAGGAUGGACACGGAAAAUAUUAGAAUUUCUACCUUUAUCCAGGCACGAAUACAUCAUUUUAGAAGAGAGAAGAACAAAUGCACACUUUUGAGUAUGGAAAUACUGUGAUGUCACCAAUCUCUGCUGUUUCAUGGCAAGGAAAAUGAUCUUCUACCAUCAUUCCUGGGAUGGGACAUGUGCCAUAUCAGUGUAAAAUUAAACUGUUGAUUAAUUGUUGUCAAUAUGAUUUUAGCUAAAUCCAGUACUUAUACCAUAAUCUCAUUCAAUUCUAAUGGUAUCUCUAGUUCAACCAAGCUUAAUUUAUCAAUAACUCAAAUAUCUCAACUCACAUAUUUUCUCAUUCUACUUUUAUUCUUGGAUUUCACAUUGAUUUUAUCCAAAAUAAAUUCUCUUUGGAAAAAGAAGAGUAUAAUUAAUAUAUAAAUGUUAGCAAAUAAAAUAAAUAAUAUCUUGCAUGAAUAUAUUUGGAGGAAUUUCAGAAACUUAGCAUUGUGCCCUUGUAAAUUAUGCCUUCAAAAAUAUUUCUCUAGUUUUCUUGUCUAAUUUGAAGAAAUGCCUCUAAUGUUAGGAAUUGCAAACUAUGUUAAGGGGAAAGUAAAUCAAUUACACAAUGGGGUACUGAAAAGGAAUUUUAUGGGAAUGACUGGUUUUAAUUACCUCAAAAUACAAUGCAAUUGUCAAUACUGUUUUUAGAUUAAAGUUUAUUGCAGUGACCGAGAACCUCAAAUCCCUACUCCAAAUGAUAACCACAUCUUUCACCUUAUCAAGCCUCAGAAAGAGAGAGACUAUUUGCCACUGAUUUAAAGUUCAGAAAACUCUGAAUUUUAUUUGUAAUCUCUAAUGAUGAAAGCUGUCCUUAGGAUAACUUCAAAUUCUUCUCAUCAGUUUCUUCCCCUUCUAUUCUAAAUAGUACUAAGUAUUCAAGUUCUGACAUCUUUAAUUUCUCAAUAUCUUUUUAAAUAAUUUCAUUUUGUUAUCCUUUAUUGUGUUUCUCUCUCUUAUUUGAUAAAAAUUCUUGAAUACUCAUCUAUCUUCUCCCUGUCACAUCAUCCUGAUCCUGAAUGUGAAAGUUUAUUUUAUACUUAACUCCACUUAAACUGCUUUUGUUGAAAUCACCCUUGCUCCUCUUUUGUUCAAAUCCAAAGGCUUCUCUCUUAAUACUUUUCAGUCACUUUCUCGUGUUUUAGGCUCUUGAUCAUAUUCUUCUUAGUACACUGUUUGAUAUUUGUCUUAGGAUUCUCUGGUCAUUAGGUACAUAUUAAGUCAGUUGAUUUGUCUUGACUUUUGAAACUGACCUUCAUUCUCCCAGUAUUAACCAUGUGUUUCAAGACUUAUUGUCCCUGCUUUGGGCAAUUCAGUGGUUGCAAAGCCAUGUCAAAUAUGGUUCCUGUUCCCAAGCCGUUAUGGUUUAGUUCAAAAAGUGCUAAACCAUGUACAAAAAUGUAAAUACUAAUUAUAAGGCAGUAAAUGAAUUCUAAAUAAAUAGGUCAAUUUUGUAGUA